rnacentral:tRNA from 4 species
UCCGGGGUAGCUCAGCUGGCAGAGCAGCGGACUGUUAAUCCGUUUGUCGUGGGUUCGAUCCCCACCCCCGGAGCCA